AUUGAACGCUGGCGGCAUGCCUUACACAUGCAAGUCGAACGGUAACGGGCCUUCGGGUGCCGACGAGUGGCGAACGGGUGAGUAAUACAUCGGAACGUGCCCGAUCGUGGGGGAUAACGAGGCGAAAGCUUUGCUAAUACCGCAUACGAUCUACGGAUGAAAGCAGGGGACCGCAAGGCCUUGCGCGGACGGAGCGGCCGAUGGCAGAUUAGGUAGUUGGUGGGAUAAAAGCUUACCAAGCCGACGAUCUGUAGCUGAUCUGAGAGGAUGAUCAGCCACACUGGGACUGAGACACGGCCCAGACUCCUACGGGAGGCAGCAGUGGGGAAUUUUGGACAAUGGGCGCAAGCCUGAUCCAGCCAUGCCGCGUGCAGGAUGAAGGCCUUCGGGUUGUAAACUGCUUUUGUACGGAACGAAAAGCCUUCUUUUAAUACAGGAGGGUCAUGACGGUACCGUAAGAAUAAGCACCGGCUAACUACGUG
rnacentral:rRNA from 1 species